rnacentral:rRNA from 1 species
ACUCAAAGGAAUAGACGGGGACCCGCACAAGCAGCGGAGCAUGUGGUUUAAUUCGAAGCAACGCGAAGAACCUUACCAGGACUUGACAUCCCUCUGAAAGCUCUUUAACAGGAGCCCCCUUCGGGCAGAGGAGACAGGUGGUGCAUGGUUGUCGUCAGCUCGUGUCGUGAGAUGUUGGGUUAAGUCCCGCAACGAGCGCAACCCUUGUCAUUAGUUGCCAUCAUUUGGUUGGGCACUCUAAUGAGACUGCCGGGGAUAACUCGGAGGAAGGUGGGGAUGACGUCAAAUCAUCAUGCCCCUUAUGUUCUGGGCUACACACGUGCUACAAUGGCCGGUACAAAGAGACGCGAAGUCGUGAGGCGGAGCAAAUCUCAAAAGCCGGCCCCGGUUCGGAUUGCAGGCUGCAACUCGCCUGCAUGAAGUCGGAGUUGCUAGUAAUCGCAGAUCAGAAUGCUGCGGUGAAUGCGUUCCCGGGUCUUGUACACACCGCCCGU